rnacentral:rRNA from 1 species
UACGUAGGGGCCUAGCGUUGUCCGGAAUUAUUGGGCGUAAAGAGCUCGUAGGCGGUUCGGCAAGUCGGAUGUGAAAUCUCCACGCUUAACGUGGAGGGCCGUUCGAAACUGCUGUGACUCGAGUCCGGUAGGGGAGUGUGGAAUUCCCGGUGUAGCGGUGAAAUGCGCAGAUAUCGGGAGGAACACCAGUAGCGAAGGCGGCACUCUGGGCCGGUACUGACGCUGAGGAGCGAAAGCGUGGGAGCGAACGAG